GUUUUCAAUUUCUAGAUUGAAGGAAAUUGCAAUCCACUGAUAUUUUUAAAUAGAUGACAUUUACUCACAUGUCUUACAGUUGAUUUUUCUGCUAAUACACACUAGAAGCAACAUCAUGAUUUGAACAAAUCGUCGUUUGCAUUAUGAAUAAUACAUAAAAACUGUUUGGGAAAUCUUUGAGAUCGACAUUGAAAUGCUUGUUGUGGCAAAUGAUUCAUAACAAAAAUUUAUUUAACUUGGAAAUUCACAAGUGCCGGCGCUACCGCGCUUAACGAUGUGGCAUUAUGGACUUGCCGACAUACAUAUUGUGGGAUAGAUGCUCUGCAAUUCCUACAGUGAAUGAAACAAUAUGGACUUGCCGAUAUACAUAUUGUGGAACAUGUGCAUUCUUGAAAGAAAUAACAAGGGUGAUGCUCUAAAAAUCGUACAUUGAAUCAAACAAUGUGGACUUGUCGACAUGCAUAUUGGGUAAUAUGUGCAUUCCUGAAGAAAAUAACGUGAAAAGCAAUCGUGGGCCCUAACUGAAGAGAACCAUUUCAAAGAAUGGAACCAAUGUAUUCUUGCCGUAGGAUUUCAAAGAGGCUGCUGCUUUUAUUAAAUUAGAAAUAAUCCUCACUCGAACAAUACAAUAUACCUUUGGUGCAUUUGGUGCAAAUGGAUUGGCUUGAAUAACUAAACACGUCAAGACGAGAACUGUUGGAAGAAAACCAGGCAAAUCAGAGGAUGCAUGAUUUCAAAUCCUAGAAUUACUAGUAAAUGGCUACCUAAUUAAAGACUUUGAAUCAAAUAUAGAGAAUACCGGCAAUGCAAAACAAAGAAUAUUAGAAAAACAUCAUCAGCUAUGAAAUAUGCUGCAGCUGGCUGCUACUGCAAUUCUUGGUCAACUCUCAAAAUGAAUGGAAGGCUCUCGUGCUUCUUGAUAGUGAAGGUUUCGAAAUAGACAAUGGAAUUUAGUAAAGAUGGAAAGUGUUUGAACAUCAUCGUGCUCUGCCAAGGGCCUAAUCAGGGAAGACAAAUGAAUUCGAAAAUGACAUUGUCUACGGCAGAGCUUUAGAAGCAACAUUAUCCCUGCAUGGCAGCAAUAGUGACCAUAAGUCAUUUGCGAUCACUAUGCAAAGGCCAAGUGUAUCAGGUCUUAAUCGGGGAUCUGUUUAUUAAACUCUUUGCUGCCUGCAGCCUUUGUGUUGUCAAUGAGGAUAAAAGUAUGAAGUAAGAUGUUGCAUUAUGGACUUGCCGACAUACAUAUUGUGGAAUAUGUGCAUUCUUGAAGGAAAUAACAAGGAUGCUCUGCAAUUCCUACAGUGAAUGAAACAAUAUGGACUUGCCGAUAUACAUAUUGUAGAACAUGUGCAUUCUUGAAAGAAAUAACAAGGGUGAUGCUCUACAAAUCGUACGGUGAAUCAAACAAUGUGGACUUGUCGACAUGCAUAUUGGGGAAUAUGUGCAUUCCUGAAGAAAAUAACGUGACAAGCAAUCGUGGGCCCUAACUGAAGAGAACCAUUUCAAAGAAUGGAACCAAUGUAUUCUUACCGUAGGAUUUCAAAGAGGCUGCUGCUUUUAUUAAAUUUGAAAUAAUCCUCACUCGAACAAUACAAUAUACCUUUGGUGCAUUUGGUGCAAAUGGAUUGGCUUGAAUAACUAAACACGUCAAGACGAGAACUGUUGGAAGAAAACCAGGCAAAUCAGAGGAUGCAUGAUUUCAAAUCCUAGAAUUACUAGUAAAUGGCUACCUAAUCAAAGACUUUGAAUCAAAUAUAGAGAAUACCGGCAAUGCAAAACAAAGAAUAUUAGAAAAACAUCAUUAGCUAUGCAAUAUGCUGCAGCUGGCUGCUACUGCAAUUCUUGGUCAACUCUCAAAAUAAAUGGAAGGCUCUCGUGCUUCUUGAUAGUGAAGGUUUCGAAAUAGACAAUGGAUGGAAGAGAAAAACCACAUGAGUAGUACUACAUAUAUGAUACAAAAUUUAAUGCAAUUUAUUUUAUAUUCCAGUUGAAAGUGAUGACAAUACAGCCAUGGACUUCACUGUUACGGUUUAAUAGCACAAUUGCAAUGAUGCAAAUUCCUUGCAGUGAGUAAUGCCUUCCAGAUAUACAGUUCACCUGCGCCUCUUUUUUAACCAUUGGAAAAGGUAUUUCAUGGAAUAUAAUAUUUCAAAUGUACUAUUAAAUAAGUUUGGUUGUCUGUUAAGAAGUUUUGAGCAAGCACUGUUUAUUUUUCAAUUUAAAUAAAUGCCUAUUAUUAUUCAAUCAAUGAAGAUUAUCACAGAUAAAAUUUGAUAAACUAUUGAUUCGAAUAAUUAAAAGUAGUAAUAUGUAUUUGAAUGUAGAUAAUCCCUGUGAAUUACUGGUUUAAAUAAUUG